UGAAUAAAACAGCUAUUUGACAGAAAAUGUUGCAUAAUGCUACCAGUCGUUACUGUUUUUAGAUCAUUUUUUAUGAGGUGACAAUCUUUGCUAGUGUUUUGGAUGAAUGACUUGAUCUGAGACACAAAGUAUGAAGAGCUAGUUUUAGUGCAUUUAAAAUGUGAAAUUAGCUUAUGUGCCAAGCUGAAUUUGAUGAUUAGGAGAACUGUGUGGAGAAUUAAAAAAAAAAAAAAAAAAAAACUGACCUAAGUAAUGAGAAAUAGGUCCUAGCAAUUGUAACGAAUAUACAAGUUGUGCUUUGUUACAGUGCAUCACAUUAGUCCUGGGGUUGGUUCACAUUACAACUAUUUCACAGCCUUCUGUAUACUUAAAUUACAAUUAGUAAUUACUAGUAUUACAAAAAAAAAGUAUUAAAAAAAAAAAAAAAAAACCUCAUAAAGACCCCCUUGAAUAGUUAAACUGUAAAAGUGAGAAGUAAAAAAGCCUAAGAAAAUAUAAUGCAAAUACACAGAAUGGAAA